AGGGGGGGCAAGCGUUGUUCGGAAUUACUGGGCGUAAAGGGUUCGUAGGUGGCCAACUAAGUCAGACGUGAAAUCCCUCAGCUUAACUGGGGAACUGCGUCUGAUACUGGAUGGCUUGAGUGCAGGAGAGGAAUGCGGAAUUCCAGGUGUAGCGGUGAAAUGCGUAGAUAUCUGGAGGAACACCGGUGGCGAAGGCGGCAUUCUGGACUGCAACUGACACUGAGGAACGAAAGCCAGGGGAGCAAACGGGAUUAGAUACCCCGGUAGUCCUGGCCCUAAACGAUGAAUGCUUGGUGUAACGGGUAUCGAUCCCUGUUGUGCCGAAGCUAACGCAUUAAGCAUUCCGCCUGGGGAGUACGGUCGCAAGGCUG
rnacentral:rRNA from 1 species